rnacentral:rRNA from 1 species
AGCAGCCGCGGUAAUUCCAGCUCCAAUAGCGUAUAUUAAAGUUGUUGCAGUUAAAAAGCUCGUAGUUGAAUUUCGGGGUCAGUAGGUUGGUCAUGCCCAUGGUAUGCACUGGUCUCACUGAUUCCUCCUUCCUGAUGAACCGUAAUGCCAUUAAUUUGGUGUUGCGGGGAAUCUGGACUGUUACUUUGAAAAAAUUAGAGUGUUUAAAGCAGGCCAACGCCUGAAUACAUUAGCAUGGAAUAAUGAAAUAGGACGUUCGAUCCUAUUUUGUUGGUUUCUAGGGUUGACGUAAUGAUUAAUAGGGAUAGUUGGGGGCAUUAGUAUUCAAUUGUCAGAGGUGAAAUUCUUGGAUUUAUUGAAGACUAACUACUGCGAAAGCAUUUGCCAAGGAUGUUUUCAUUAAUCAAGAACGAAAGUUAGGGGAUCGAAGACGAUCAGAUACCGUCGUAGUCUUAACCAUAAACUAUGCCGACUAGGGAUCGGAUGAUGUUAAUUUUAUAUAGA